rnacentral:rRNA from 1 species
GGUGAGUAACGCGUGGGUAACCUGCCUUAUACAGGGGGAUAACAGUUGGAAACGACUGCUAAUACCGCAUAAGCGCACGGUAUCGCAUGAUACAGUGUGAAAAACUCCGGUGGUAUACGAUGGACCCGCGUCUGAUUAGCUUGUUGGUGAGGUAACGGCUCACCAAGGCGACGAUCAGUAGCCGGCCUGAGAGGGUGAACGGCCACAUUGGGACUGAGACACGGCCCAAACUCCUACGGGAGGCAGCAGUGGGGAAUAUUGCACAAUGGGGGAAACCCUGAUGCAGCGACGCCGCGUGAGUGAUGAAGUAUUUCGGUAUGUAAAACUCUAUCAGCAGGGAAGAUAAUGACGGUACCUGACUAAGAAGCACCGGCUAAAUACGUGCCAGCAGCCGCGGUAAUACGUAUGGUGCAAGCGUUAUCCGGAUUUACUGGGUGUAAAGGGUGCGUAGGUGGUAUGGCAAGUCAGAAGUGAAAGGCUGGGGCUCAACCCCGGGACUGCUUUUGAAACUGUCAAACUAGAGUACAGGAGAGGAAAGCGGAAUUCCUAGUGUAGCGGUGAAAUGCGUAGAUAUUAGGAGGAACACCAGUGGCGAAGGCGGCUUUCUGGACU